UUUCGACACACUAUCAUUAACUGAAUCCAUAGGUUAAUGAGGCGAACCGGGGGAACUGAAACAUCUAAGUACCCCGAGGAAAAGAAAUCAACCGAGAUUCCCCCAGUAGCGGCGAGCGAACGGGGAGCAGCCCAGAGCCUGAAUCAGUGUGUGUGUUAGUGGAAGCGUCUGGAAAGGCGCGCGAUACAGGGUGACAGCCCCGUACACAAAAAUGCACAUACUGUGAGCUCGAUGAGUAGGGCGGGACACGUGGUAUCCUGUCUGA
rnacentral:rRNA from 1 species